AGCAAACAGGAGUUGCAGAUAUCAAAGUGCAACCGACUAGCAAAGAAAUAAGAGCUUUGGUUUCCAGUACAACAAGGAAGCACUGCAAAUAAUAAUAGAGGUUUAGAGUUUGCAUAGGAUAGCUUAACUACAACAGCUAAACGCAUUUAAGCAUCCAAAAUAUUAACAGCUAGGAGUUUGACAGACAAUAAUAGAAGCUCAAAUCUGGCAAAGUUCUUCCGAACGUGUCCUAGAUCCUUGAUUUUCUGCAACUGAUCCAUCUUCAGUUCUGCACUAUUGCUCUUCUUCUGCAAGAUUAACAUUUUUUUAAUACAUGUCAAUAUUUUUCUAUAUACAUUUAAUAUUUUCAAAUGCUUGAUUAACAUUUUUUUAAUACUAUACAAGAUUUUUUUUAAUACAUGAUGAACAUUUUUCUAUGCACAUUUAAUAUUUUUCAAAUGCUUGAUUAGCAUUUUUCAAAUACAUGUUAAACAUUUUUUUAAUACAUGGUCAACAUUUUUUAUACACAUUUAAUAUUUUUCAAAUGCUUGAUUAAUAAUAUUUUUUAGAUAUUUGUUUAACAUUUUUUUUCAAAUGCUUGAUUAACAUUUUUUAAAUAACUUUUUCACACACAUUGUAUAUUUUUUGUCUACAUUUUUCGUAUACAUGAGAAACGUUUUCUCUAUACACAAUUACAUUUUUUAAAUGCUUGGUUAACAUUUUUAUCAUAUACAUUUCUUUGUACACAUUUUACAUUUUUCAAAUGUUUUACUUACAAUAUCUGGAAGUAUAUACGGAAAUAAGAAAAGAAAGAAAAAACGAUAACAAAAACGUGAAAAAAAAAGAUGCCAUGACCUCCCGCAUGCCUGGGCCUGCUUAUCUGGCGCUCCCCUGACGCGAGACUUCACUACGUCUCGCUGUAAGCGAGACAUAGAGGUGCCCAAGAGUCCAGUUCAGGAUGGACCGCUGACUGAAAGAGAUUCAAAGAACACUAAAAGUGUUGAUAAUUAACCAUUACUGGCAGACGAUCAUGAGGGACAUGUAGCACCCGUCACAAUUUUGUCAACUGAGCUGGUAUGCCCGUCACACCAUCAGCCAAGAAGUGAUGUCUUCUGCAACGAUUUAGCAUUUGAGCAAACAGGAGUUGCAGAUAUCAAACUGCAACCGACUAGCAAAGAAAUAAGAGCUUUGGUUUCCAGUACAACAAGGAAGCACUGCAAAUAAUAAUAGAGGUUUAGAGUUUGCAUAGGGUAGCUUAACUACAACAGCUAACCGCAUUUAAGCAUCCAAAAUAUUAAUAGCUAGGAGUUUGACAGACAAUAAUAGAAGCUCAAAUCUGGCAAAGUUCUUCCGAACGUGUCUUAGAUCCUUGAUUUUCUGCAACUGAUCCAUCUUCAGUUCUGCACUAUUGCUCUUCUUCUGCAAGAUUAACAUUUUUUUAAUACAUGUCAAUAUUUUUCUAUAUACAUUUAAUAUUUUCAAAUGCUUGAUUAACAUUUUUUUAAUACUAUACAAGAUUUUUUAAUACAUGAUGAACAUUUUUCUAUGCACAUUUAAUAUUUUUCAAAUGCUUGAUUAGCAUUUUUCAAAUACAUGUUAAACAUUUUUUGAAUACAUGGUCAACAUUUUUUAUACACAUUUAAUAUUUUUCAAAUGCUUGAUUAAUAAUAUUUUUUAGAUAUUUGUUUAACAUUUUUUUUCAAAUGCUUGAUUAACAUUUUUUAAAUAACUUUUUCACACACAUUGUAUAUUUUUUGUCUACAUUUUUCGUAUACAUGAGAAACGUUUUCUCUAUACACAAUUACAUUUUCUAAAUGCUUGGUUAACAUUUUUAUCAUAUACAUUUCUUUGUACACAUUUUACAUUUUUCAAAUGUUUUACUUACAAUAUCUGGAAGUAUAUACGGAAAUAAGAAAAGAAAGAAAACACGAUAACAAAAACGUGAGAAAAAAACGAUGCCAUGACCUCCCGCAUGCCUGGGCCUGCUUAUCUGGCGCUCCCCUGACGCGAGACUUCACUACGUCUCGCUGUAAGCGAGACAUAGAGGUGCCCAAGAGUCCAGUUCAGGAUGGACUGCUGACUGAAAGAGAUUCAAAGAACACUAAAAGUGUUGAUAAUUAACCAUUACUGGCAGACGAUCAUGAGGGACAUGUAGCACCCAUCACAAUUUUGUCAACUGAGCUGGUAUGCCCGUCACACCAUCAGCCAAGAAGUGAUGUCUUCUGCAACGAUUUAGCAUUUGAGCAAACAGGAGUUGCAGAUAUCAAACUGCAACCGACUAGCAAAAAAAUAAGAGCUUUGGUUUCCAGUACAACAAGGAAGCACUGCAAAUAAUAAUAGAGGUUUAGAGUUUGCAUAGGAUAGCUUAACUACAACAGCUAAACGCAUUUAAGCAUCCAAAAUAUUAACAGCUAGGAGUUUGCCAGACAAUAAUAGAAGCUCAAAUCUGGCAAAGUUCUUCCGAACGUGUCCUAGAUCCUUGAUUUUCUGCAACUGAUCCAUCUUCAGUUCUGCACUAUUGCUCUUUUCUUCUGCAAGAUUAACAUUUUUUUAAUACAUGUCAAUAUUUUUCUAUAUACAUUUAAUAUUUUCAAAUGCUUGAUUAACAUUUUUUUAAUACUAUACAAGAUUUGUUUAAUACAUGAUGAACAUUUUUCCUAUGCACAUUUAAUAUUUUUCAAAUGCUUGAUUAGCAUUUUUCAAAUACAUGUUAAACAUUUUUUGAAUACAUGGUCAACAUUUUUUAUACACAUUUAAUAUUUUUUCAAAUGCUUGAUUAAUAAUAUUUUUUAGAUAUUUGUUUAACAUUUUUUUUCAAAUGCUUGAUUAACAUUUUUUAAAUAACUUUUUCACACACAUUGUAUAUUUUUUGUCUACAUUUUUCGUAUACAUGAGAAACGUUUUCUCUAUACACAAUUACAUUUUUUAAAUGCUUGGUUAACAUUUUUAUCAUAUACAUUGCUUUGUACACAUUUUACAUUUUUCAAAUGUUUUACUUACAAUAUCUGGAAGUAUAUACGGAAAUAAGAAAAGAAAGAAAACACGAUAACAAAAACGUGAAAAAAAAACGAUGCCAUGACCUCCCGCAUGCCUGGGCCUGCUUAUCUGGCGCUCCCCUGACGCGAGACUUCACUACGUCUCGCUGUAAGCGAGACAUAGAGGUGCCCAAGAGUCCAGUUCAGGAUGGACCGCUGACUGAAAGAGAUUCAAAGAACACUAAAAGUGUUGAUAAUUAACCAUUACUGGCAGACGAUCAUGAGGGACAUGUAGCACCCAUCACAAUUUUGUCAACUGAGCUGGUAUGCCCGUCACACCAUCAGCCAAGAAGUGAUGUCUUCUGCAACGAUUUAGCAUUUGAGCAAACAGGAGUUGCAGAUAUCAAACUGCAACCGACUAGCAAAGAAAUAAGAGCUUUGGUUUCCAGAACAACAAGGAAGCACUGCAAAUAAUAAUAGAGGUUUAGAGUUUGCAUAGGAUAGCUUAACUACAACAGCUAAACGCAUUUAAGCAUCCAAAAUAUUAACAGCUAGGAGUUUGACAGACAAUAAUAGAAGCUCAAAUCUGGCAAAGUUCUUCUGAGCGUGUCUUAGAUCCUUGAUUUUCUGCAACUGAUCCAUCUUCAGUUCUGCACUAUUGUUCUUCCUCGAUCACGGCAGUUUGCAUGCAGUCCGGCAGUAGACAAACAGGAAGGCCACACUCCAGUCUUUUGUCUGGGAUCCAAAUUGGUGCUUGGCCUCCAAAUAGUACAGUAUCUCUGAAGUAGCGUGGUACCGUAUCUCUGUAGUCGUGUGAGAACUUACUGAAUUUUUGCCUCGAGGUGCGAACUAGAUAGGGCAGGCUGUAGUAUGGGGACAUGUAUGCAGCAGUGCUAACCCCAAUCUCACAACAGACGGCAAUAACAUGAGAGCAGGGCUUGUGAAGUACCUGCGGCUUGCUGCAUGAACAGGUGGC
rnacentral:lncRNA from 1 species